AUUGAACGCUGGCGGCAGGCCUAACACAUGCAAGUCGAGCGGAUGAAGGGAGCUUGCUCCUGGAUUCAGCGGCGGACGGGUGAGUAAUGCCUAGGAAUCUGCCUGGUCGUGGGGGAUAACGUCCGGAAACGGGCGCUAAUACCGCAUACGUCCUGAGGGAGAAAGUGGGGGAUCUUCGGACCUCACGCUAUCAGAUGAGCCUAGGUCGGAUUAGCUAGUUGGUGGGGUAAAGGCCUACCAAGGCGACGAUCCGUAACUGGUCUGAGAGGAUGAUCAGUCACACUGGAACUGAGACACGGUCCAGACUCCUACGGGAGGCAGCAGUGGGGAAUAUUGGACGAUGGGCGAAAGCCUGAUCCAGCCAUGCCGCGUGUGUGAAGAAGGUCUUCGGAUUGUAGAGCACUUUAAGUUGGGAGGAAGGGCAGUAAGUUAAUACCUUGCUGUUUUGACGUUACCAACAGAAUAAGCACCGGCUAACUUCGUG
rnacentral:rRNA from 1 species